UCUCUCUCUCUCUCUCUCUCUCUCUCUCACCGUUUUCGAUUCCACCACCAUUGCGCUCGCUCUCUAUUGUCACCGCCGUCGCCGAUUGCUCUCCGUUGUCACCGACGUCGCCGAUUACUAUCCAUUAUUCAAUCAAUCACCGCAGAAUACAUCAACGGUAAGCUUCUCGUUGAAGAUCAAGAGGUACUUCUACGAGUUGUUUGGCUUUGAGAUACGAGGCUUUAGUUAUUCGAGAAAUCAAAUCCUCUAGGUUUCAAUUGCUUCAAGUUUCGCCCGUAGAAUGGUUAAAAUUUGUGGAGGAUGCUGUGCAGAACGGUUUUCAUGCAGAUGCAGACUUGCAGUUAAGGCUUUCUUUGACUUCACUGUCCCUUCUGUUUGAUCUUCCUGAGUUCUCUCACCUUGGCUGGGGCCACUGGUUUACAUUGAGGGACUUAGAACUUGCAACAAACAAGUUUUCAAAAGCGAAUAUUAUUGGUGAAGGGGGAUAUGGAGUUGUUUAUCAAGGCCAGCUGAUCAAUGGGAAUCCAGUGGCUAUUAAGAUGCUACUAAAUAAUCUUGGACAAGCUGAAAAGGAAUUUAGAGUGGAUGUUUAGGCUAUUGGGCAUGUGAGGCACAAGAACUUGGUUAGACUUUUGGGUUUUUACAUUGAAGGCAGUCGCAGGCUGGCUUACUUGCACGAAGGCUCACAAGUCGACAUUUGAGGCUGCCAUUACCGAGUACAUGCAGCAACCAAAACAGAGGGUGAGACUCUUGUCAUGGAAGACAAGACAACUUUUGGAGGUUCGGCUGAUACGUUACAAUCUGGGUUAUUUUAAUGUGUCUAUUUUGUGGUAUGAGAGCAAGGACUUGGGUAGUGUCUAUUAUCAGAUGGUUGAAGGGCAAGAUGGAUCUUGGGUUAGUCUUGUGGAGGAUUGUAUCUGACAUUACUAAGGAUAGGAAGGUCCUUAAGAAGAUCUUAAAGGAAGGAGAGGGAUAUGAAAGACCAAAUGAUGGAGCUAUGGUUCUAGGUACAGUUUUGCUAAUAAAAGCUUUUAAAGGUUUUUGUACUUUGAUUUCAUUUGUAAAGGUGAGAAUAUUAUGUCUUCAUUUUCAUUAGGUUUUUUAGUUUUGACAAAGUUAGAAGAUAUACUUGAUUACCUAUAUAAUGCUAACAUGUGUUUAGUUACUUUGUUAUGCGUAAAAUUUAGUCUUGUAGUUGUAUGUAGUUGUAAAUCAUGUUGAUUUAAUUAGGCUUAUUU